AUUGAACGCUGGCGGCAUGCCUUACACAUGCAAGUCGAACGGCAGCGGGCCUUCGGGUGCCGGCGAGUGGCGAACGGGUGAGUAAUGCAUCGGAACGUGCCAUUGAGUGGGGGAUAACGUAGCGAAAGUUGCGCUAAUACCGCAUAUUCUGUGAGCAGGAAAGCAGGGGACCGCAAGGCCUUGCGCUCUUUGAGCGGCCGAUGUCAGAUUAGCUAGUUGGUGAGGUAAAGGCUUACCAAGGCGACGAUCUGUAGCGGGUCUGAGAGGACGACCAGUCACACUGGGACUGAGACACGGCCCAGACUCCUACGGGAGGCAGCAGUGGGGAAUUUUGGACAAUGGGGGAAACCCUGAUCCAGCAAUGCCGCGUGUGUGACGAAGGCC
rnacentral:rRNA from 1 species